AGCGAACGCUGGCGGCAGGCUUAACACAUGCCAGUCGAGCGGGCCCUUCGGGGUCAGCGGCGGACGGGUGAGUAACGCGUGGGAACGUGCCUUCUGGUCUGGAAUAACCCUGGGAAACUAGGGCUAAUACCGGAUACGCCCUUUUGGGGAAAGGUUUACUGCCGGAAGAUCGGCCCGCGUCUGAUUAGCUAGUUGGUGGGGUAACGGCCUACCAAGGUGACGAUCAGUAGCUGGUCUGAGAGGAUGAUCAGCCACACUGGGACUGAGACACGGCCCAGACUCCUACGGGAGGCAGCAGUGGGGAAUAUUGGACAAUGGGCGCAAGCCUGAUCCAGCCAUGCCGCGUGAGUGAUGAAGGCCUUAGGGUUGUAAAGCUCUUUUAUCCGGGACGAUAAUGACGGUACCGGAGGAAUAAGCCCCGGCUAACUUCGUG
rnacentral:rRNA from 1 species